rnacentral:lncRNA from 1 species
AUGAGAGAGCAGUGUGUUUUUCUUCAUGUGGAUUUAGACUGUACUUUUCCCACUCAGGGUACUCAGGGGCCAGCUUGCCUGCCAAUGGACCAGACCCAGCAGCCACAACUGGGACCCUUUUGUCCCUGGUCUCCUCCUGAUGCAGACAACUGGCCAGAGUGCCCCGACCGGACUCUGGUUUGAGGCUCUGCACAGUCCCUCUCCCCUCACCUCCCACUUGCUGAUGCCCAGCUGAGGUCUUCUCAGGCAACCGGACCUCACACAAGUGCUGUGUGUGACACUUAGCAGAACUGGCAGGUGUGGAUUGAGAACAUGCAUAAUUUUGGUGCUCAUAUAAUGUGAAGAAAUUGAGCUUGGACUUUUUAGUUGCAUAUGCAAGUGUGUGUUCAAUAUAUCAAGUUAGAAGUCACCUAAAAAAAGAAAAUCUGAACUAGUCCCAGCUGGAAGAAACAGAAGAGGUUGUGUAAUAUCGUCUUCAUCAUAAGAAAUAAAUAUUUGGUCUUUGGCCCUAUUUCUGGCACAGAACUCCUACCAACCUUGGAAUUUCCUAAGUGAUUAGAGUGAUACAGUUGUCUUUAAUUAUGUUAAUGAGGUGUCUUUUGGAAGCACCUAAGGAGGGAGGAAACCAAC